UUUUAAUUGCGACUCGAGCUUCUAUGCUAUAUGCAUAUUCGCUUCAAACGAUCUCAUCUAUCAAAUCUCCGACGCGAGUCACGCUACCUUAAUAUUCUUUUGACACAAAUGUCUUUUGAUCUCUAACUGCGCUGAGGCUUGAAUCGCUUGCAUUGAAAGUUCAGGACUGUGAUAAAUCAAUUAUUUCUUCAUUGUAUGGUAGCUUAUGAAGAGCUCUUAUUUGGCUGUUGGGAACAGAUGGCCUAUCUUGUUUUACAAAUUACAAUUAUUGAUCAUCUGUUGUUCACUCUCCUGUAAGCAUAAUCCUGAUGAUUGUUCUAUAUGGACUGCCUUUGAUUUACCUUCCACUCAAAGCAAAAGAUUAUUUUCCUGAAUCAUUCUCCAAGUUUGUCUUCUAUUGUUUUGUUGCGAGUUGCAGCUCAUAAGCACAUUUAGUUUCGUAGCUCCUCUCUUGUUGCAGUGACCAUUUUGUGUCCUUCCUCGGAUUAGCUUCCCAUUGACGAAAUGAAUUCAGGAUCCAUUGACUCCUCUCCCCAACCUGUUGCUCAAGCUUCUGAUGUUGAACCUCCAGCACCAGCUGUCAAUGGAGAAAAUUGUUCUGCUCCGGAAUCACUAUCUGUGUCGUCUGCUUCUAGCAAAUCUUCUGGAGCUAAAAGUUCGUAACUCCCUUAGCCCAAAGCACCAGAGGGAAUGAAAACAGCAGCUGCUGGGUUUCAACAUUCUCACGUUUCACUAAUGGGCUUGGAUUGCAUUUUCCUUCAAAGCCUUCUGGUGCAGAAGAGAGUACUGAAUCACCUCAGAUUCUGCACAAGCUGGCUUCUCUGAAUCAUUCACAAAAGGUUUAUUUGACUCCUCCAAGAGCGCAGUGAAGGCUGUGCAGGUCAAAGAUCGUCAAAUUGUUUCUCACAAUUAAUGCAGAUACCAGAACUAUCGUAUGUCAUACCUAGCAAGAAUUCCAUUCAGUAAUUCAGAGAGUCAGUGAUGAAUAAUGUUGCAACAAUGGAGAAAUUUUCACAUGCAGCCAGAAGAUUAUUGGAUUAGAGCAUCAAAGAAAGGGACUAUGAUCUUUGCCAUUCCAGGGGAGCCUGGUUUGACAGAGUUGGUUGGAGACUUCAAAAUUCAUUUUCAUGAUCAACAGGGAGAUUUGUACUGGUAAAUGAGCAUUGUCUUACAUAAAUAGAUGAUGCACAGUGACUCUAUUUUGUCGCAAGUGAAAAAAGUCUUAAAAGAAAGUAGAACCAACUGAUAUGCAUCAAAUACUACAUUUUCAUCCUCAAUGAGCAUUCAUAGAUUACUUCAGAAAGCAAAGUCUUCUCGUACUGGUGCCUGUAGCCAUGCACAUGCUUGGGUGAGACUUCACAUUGUCCGCCCUCACUAACCAAUAAUUAUUAUUGCUUUGGUAAAUGAUGCUUGUUGCUUGUGUUUCAAAUUAUAUCACAAACGGACUUAUAAAACAAUCAUUUUCCCAUGGAUUUUCUGCUAAAAUUUCUUGUAUCAAGAACUGCGUCCUGCAUGUACAGAUUACUUUCUCAAGAUCUUUUUUCUUGAAUAGUAUGUGGAUUGUGGAACAUUAAUAGAUACUCAUCUUCUUCUAAGAAUUUGUUUUAGAAAGGAUUACUAACAAUAUAUGGAGACUGUUCUAUCAGGAAUGCAUGCCUUAUGCCUUAUAAAACAUGUUUUCUUAUGUCAAGAGUUCCUUUAAUUAUACAUACUAGUUGCUUAAGAAUGAAGAUUGAUCCUUUUUUAUUUAACUUGUCAGUUGGCUGAAUACAACAAUGUAAGAGAACAGGAUCACACCUGGUGGUUCUGAUCUUGAUGGCUUUGAAAAUGUAAAUUACACUUCAGCUGUGUGAUAGAGCGCUAGACCCUUCACUAAUUAGUAUGCUUUAGUUAUAUUCUCAAACUUUGCAGAGAAAUUUGCGUUCUCCAGGAUUCCAGGUUGAAGUUGUGAUAGAUCACGAGAUAUUCGACCAUCAACUUCCAAAGCUGAUUCUGCAGGCAGUGUCCGAUGGGAGAUGAGUUAUGUUCCAGUUCAGUAUUUUCUUGCGGAGAUGACCAACAUUAUGAAAGUGAAUGAUACAUCUUUGCUACAAACCAUUGUCACCGCCUUUUUCAUGGAAGAACACAAGACUCCCACUCUUUGCUGAUCUCCGUAUCUCUGGAACCUCGAUUUUACUUGCUUUCGGUUGCAAUUCUUUCCCGAUCUCUAUUGUUUGGCUUCUAAUAGAAACCGUAGCCGGAUAUGUAUUUCCUGCCUCUAAAGAUGGUGAAUCAAUCUCUUUCGAGUCUA